CACGUAGGGGGCAAGCGUUGUCCGGAUUUAUUGGGCGUAAAGAGCUCGUAGGUGGUUCGGUAAGUCGGGUGUUAAACCCCCAGGCUCAACCUGGGGACGCCACUCGAUACUGCUGUGACUAGAGUCCGGUAGGGGAGCGUGGAAUUCCUGGUGUAGCGGUGAAAUGCGCAGAUAUCAGGAGGAACACCAGCGGCGAAGGCGGGUUGCUGGACCGGUUCUGACGCUGAGGCGCGAAAGCGUGGGUAGCAAACAGG
rnacentral:rRNA from 1 species